UGGGCUUCCAUAUCUUUCCCAGCUCCUCUCAUUUACUAUGGAUGCUGGCAAGAAAUGGCAGUCUAGA
rnacentral:pre_miRNA from 1 species